CUCAGUAAACAAGCCAGCCACAACCUGUUUCGUGUUUCACAGGCCACUGCAUAUGUGGCUUAGGAAAAUGUUAACAGGGAGAUGUCAUCUCCACGACUGAAUGGCACAGUUUCUAUCCUGAAGGCAUGAGUGAUGGGAAGCAGUGGGGUGACAGAUGACGAGGCAACAGCAGCCCUAUUCUUAGGGUGUUCCCGUCUGGCAGCAGACAAGACAGGAGACAUGCACUGUGGAAGCUUUUCAGUUGGAGGUUUCUAGAGAUUAAAUCAGAACACAGAUAAAUUGAUCUUUGGAGGCUGCUGACAGAUUGACUGGGCUGAGGUGAUCUGAGGAAAAUGAUUGUAAAAUGCAAGUGUAUUGGUGGGAAUGCUGCUUGGACUGGAUAAGGAUGAGAUCGUUAGGAGAGAUGAUAUCCCCGAUAUCAGAGAGAUGAUAUCCCCGGCCUGGCUUAGGUGUGGAGUGACGGCUACUGCGCAGCCAGUGGGGAGUAUGAAGCAAGCUCAAGGUGGAGCCCGAGGGGGGAGCAACAUUAACCAUGGAGGGGGGAGCGAUGCUCUCCUCGAGGUCAGAGGGAGAACCAAUGUCCUCCAUGGAGCAAGAAGGGGGAGUGUUAUGAGGCAUGAAGCAAAGAAAUGGAGUGACGUCUUCAGCGGAACAUGGAGGCAGAAUGACGUCAUCAGCAGAGCAGGAUGGCGGAGCAACGUCCUCAGCCGAGCAGGAAGGCAAAGUGACAUCCUCAGCCGAGCAGGAAGGCGGAGCAACAUCCUCAGCUGAGCAGGAAGGCAAAGUGACAUCCUCAUCUGAGCAGGAAGGCAGAGCAACGUCCUCAGCCGAGCAGGGAGACGGAGCAACAUCCUCAGUGGAAUAGCAAAGCGGAGCAACGUCUGAAGAGAAGCCUGGUGUAGUGAUAUCCGAGGCAGAGCAGGGAGGCAAAGUUGAACAGGAAGGCUGAUAAAAAAAUAUAAUUACCUUGCAUUACAUCAAUAAUACAUAAUUCACAGUUCACGCUUAGAAAUAAUAGUUUCAUAAAGACAUAAAAUCUUAAUAUAUUACAAAAUUAAGAGCAAUUGUGUUUAACUGGAUAAUAAGUGGUGUUUCUCUGGCAUUAUUGCACUGUAGUCCAGUCGUAGAAGUGUAGUAUUAGUGCUAAAAUAAUUUGUGUAGUCAUUGAGCAUGUUUACAGCUUGGGGUCACAAACUGUUUCUAUGCAUUGUCUCUCUGCUUUGUGGGUCACUCUGUGGCACACCAUUAGGCUGUUUUGCCUCUGUUAUGCCAGAGGGGAGGAGCCCUUGUUAUCUGUGCAUGACUCUUUGAGAGUGGCCGUUGUGGUGAUGUCUCCAUGUUGGAAGUACGCUAAUUGUCUUUGUGUCCUGGUUCCGUGCUCCAGUCCCUGGCAGGUUACAAUGGUGCCCAGUGUUGCUCUCCCAGAACAAUCGCUCUCUGUCUCUGCUGGACCAGCACAGUCACUGUCAGUUCAGACUGUACACACUCUGCAGCAAUCGCAGAUACCAAGCGAUAGACCAGAAAAAUCCAAAACCAUAUAGACAAAAACAUUCCUGCACUCAUUUGUACACAUACCCAUUACACUGAUAUUCAUUUAUGUGCAAACAAAUUGGUACUAUGAUGAAUAAACACCAAAUGAGACAGUGAAACAUUGUCAAGUUUGCAUGCAAUAAAUCAGUGAAUAAUUCACCACAAGAUAUCAAUGCUAUUGGUAGCCUCUAAGAGCACUAUAUUGAUGCCAAUUCAGAUCCAUGUCUAUUCCGAUCCAUAUCACCCACUGAUAAUCUAAAACCCAUAGUUUCUAAACAGAGCCUGCUGAUGUAAGCAAAGAGGCUUGAAUGUGGAUAUCAAAUAAAUUGAUUAGAAACACUGCAGCCCAGUUUGAGGGUAUGGCUUGAUAAAAGGAAGCUAAAGCAAAGUCCUGUCUAAGGAAGGAAAACUACAUAAAUACAUCUUAGUUGUGUAAAUUACAGAACUUUAAAAUCUUUAAAGACUGAUAUUUAUAUUUGCACAGAUGACUAAAAAAGAGUUGGAUCUGACCUGCAGUCAAAGAGCUGAGAUGCUGUGGAUUCUGACACAGGGGAUCCCUCAAACUUUGUUUCCUCAGAAAUGCCCUUGAGCCCUUCUCAUUUAAACUUCAGCCCCUGUUAUGUGCCUUUUCAAUUAAGCCUGUCUUAAGAUAUACCUGUCUUUCCCUUUUCUCUUAUUUCUUGCUUUCUCUUUUUAUCCCUUUUCCUAACCAGUGUUGGGUAAGUUACUCAAAAAAAAGUAAUCCACUACAGACGACUAAUUACUACUUUAAAAUUGUAAUCUGAUUACAUUACUGAUUACUGCAUGUAAAAAAGUAAUCACAUUACUAAUUACUUUCAAGUUACUUUCAAAACCUUUCAAACCUACAAAAAUAACACUACAAACACUACAAAGUGAAACUCAGUUCUUUCAGUGAUUUUAGCGUGCGUCAAUGAUCGGAAAAAGUUGGAUUUAUCAUAAAACUUGCCUCGGGUGUUGUCACUGUUUGUAGGACUACCAGACUGAUAAAAUAGAAAACUUUUCUAACUAGACUAGUCUCGUGUCACUAACCAAGCAGAGGCACAGCUAAGCUAUUGUUGUAUGGGUUUAGCUGCUACAGUGCCAUGCAAAGUACAUUAUCUUUCCAUAUGCUAUGCUCAUAUCAUGUUUACGAAAACUGGAACUCAUAUAGACAUUUACACACCUUGUUUUCCUGCUCAGCAUGAGAGGAUGUUAGUGUUUCAGUUUCAACCCAUUUACU
ensembl:lncRNA